AUGGGGGCAAGGGUGACCCCGCCCCGUGGAGGGAGGGGGCGGGGCCUGCGGGGUCCCCGGCUAAUGGCAAACAGCUGCCGCUCCCCACGCCGGCCCAGCCGCCAGGCCGAGGCCCAGCCCGGCGUCCGGCCGGGCCGCCUUCCCGCCGUCUGGGGCCCGGCCCGGCUCGGCCGCGGAGGAGGCGAGGGGGGCCGGGGCGGGGGAAGGAGGUACAGAGGACCGAGGUGGCGGAGAGGAGCAGAGCGACGGCAGGGAUGGGGCGGAGGCAGGGCGAGAGGUGCAGGCGGAGGAGGACGGGGCCGGGGGCGAGAGGCAGGGACGGGGCCAAAGGCGGGGAGGGGACAGAGAGGCGGGGAACGAGGCUCUCAGAGUCCGGAAAGUUUGGACCGAGACGUAGAGUUGGAGGCAGAGGCUCGUAGAGAACGGCGAGGUCGCGCCCCGGGAUUGGGGGUGGCUGGGGCGGGGACCACGCUCCAACCCCGAACCGGACUCGAACCCCGACCCAGCCUCGGGUCCUACUCGCCUCGCGCGCUCCGGCCGCCGCCGUCCCUGCGUCCCGCCGCCCGUGCGUCCUCCGCGCGCCACCGCCCGGCCGCCCGGCCCUCGGCGGUGGCCCCGCCCCCGCCCCGCCCUCCCCGGGACGGCCCCGCCCCCGGCCCGCCCCGCCCCGGGCCGCCGCGGAGGGGGACGCCGCGAGGGCGCGAUCGCACCUGGCCCGCAGGUGUAUACGCGCGCGCGCGGGGGGUCCCGUGGCGCCCUCCCGCCCUGCCCCGGAGUCCCCGGGGCACGGGCCACCCCCACCGCUGCAGCUGGGCGCAGUGGGGGGCAGGAGGGGGCGGGGCUGGCCGAGGCCCAGCUCCGGGAGGGCGCUGGCGGGGGCGGCGGCGGCGGCGGCGGCGGCGGCGGCGGCGGCGGCGGCGGAGGUCACCCGUCCUCCCCACCCCCCGCCGGCCGAGGCUGGAAGCGGCCCAGCACAGGCCUGGUACAGGGUGGCGUGACCGCCGCGGGGUGGGGAGUCGGGCUGGGUCAGUGCGAGGCUGCGCAGGCAACGGCUAA
rnacentral:lncRNA from 1 species